rnacentral:rRNA from 1 species
GAUGAACGCUGGCGGCGUGCCUAAUACAUGCAAGUCGAACGGCAGCACGGGUGCUUGCACCUGGUGGCGAGUGGCGAACGGGUGAGUAAUACAUCGGAACGUACCUUAUCGUGGGGGAUAACGCAGCGAAAGCUGUGCUAAUACCGCAUACGCCCUGAGGGGGAAAGCGGGGGAUCGAAAGACCUCGCGCGAUUAGAGCGGCCGAUGCCUGAUUAGCUUGUUGGUGGGGUAAAAGCCCACCAAGGCGACGAUCAGUAGCUGGUCUGAGAGGACGAUCAGCCACACUGGGACUGAGACACGGCCCAGACUCCUACGGGAGGCAGCAGUGGGGAAUUUUGGACAAUGGGGGCAACCCUGAUCCAGCAAUGCCGCGUGAGUGAAGAAGGCCUUCGGGUUGUAAAGCUCUUUUGUCAGGGAAGAAACAGCAGCUCUAACACAGUUUGCGAAUGACGGUACCUGAAGAAUAAGCACCGGCUAACUACGUGCCAGCCGCCGCCGCAG